rnacentral:rRNA from 1 species
GUCAUGCGCAGCUACACAUGCAGUCGAGCGAGAUCUUCGGAUCUAGCGGCGGACGGGUGAGUAACGCGUGGGAACGUACCCUCUUCUGCGGGAUAGCCACUGGAAACGGUGAGUAAUACCGCAUACGCCCUUCGGGGGAAAGAUUUAUCGGAGGAGGAUCGGCCCGCGUUGGAUUAGGUAGUUGGUGGGGUAAUGGCCUACCAAGCCUACGAUCCAUAGCUGGUUUUAGAGGAUGAUCAGCCACACUGGGACUGAGACACGGCCCAGACUCCUACGGGAGGCAGCAGUGGGGAAUCUUAGACAAUGGGCGCAAGCCUGAUCUAGCCAUGCCGCGUGAGUGACGAAGGCCUUAGGGUCGUAAAGCUCUUUCGCCUGUGAUGAUAAUGACAGUAGCAGGUAAAGAAACCCCGGCUAACUCCGUGCCAGCAGCCGCGGUAAUACGGAGGGGGUUAGCGUUGUUCGGAAUUACUGGGCGUAAAGCGCACGUAGGCGGAUUGGAAAGUAUGGGGUGAAAUCCCAGGGCUCAACCCUGGAACGGCCUCAUAAACUUCCAGUCUGGAGUUCGAGAGAGGUGAGUGGAAUUCCGAGUGUAGAGGUGAAAUUCGUAGAUAUUCGGAGGAACACCAGUGGCGAAGGCGGCUCACUGGCUCGAUACUGACGCUGAGGUGCGAAAGUGUGGGGAGCAAACAGGAUUAGAUACUCUGGUAGUC